CGCUACCGCUCUUCGAGCCAUUGUUAUCUCAGCCACAGCUCCACCCAACAAUGGCUAGAAGAAGUGUGGUCUUAAGCACCGCCAAGAUGAUGAAAUCUACAGACGUGGAACUCUAUCGAUAUUUGUGAAUGCUUGGCGCCAUACUGAGCUACGAAGCGGGCACAACUGUUCUCCAUGGCGGCGGCAAGGGGCCAGCUAAUGGGAUGCUGGACAAGAUUGAAAGACCCAAACCUACAUGAACAUCUUCUCCAUUUGAUUU